GUGUUAUGAAACCGGAAUUAUAAAGAGAAGCGAGUUCGUUAUUGCACUCCACUAAUGCCGUGCUUCAUCCAAAUAUAUUUGGAGGAAUAAAGGAGAGAAAUGCGCACACACAUACAAAGAGAAAGAGGCAGAGAGAGAAAGAGAGAGAGAGAGAGAGACGCACGCGAGGCCUCCGUCUCUAUGUAAAACACGUACGCGCGCGAGGACGCUUGUCCGGAACAAUAGUGGCUCGCGCGGAUACUCGAGCGGAAAACGAAUCUACGGUCGCGAGGGGCAUGAAAUAUCCGGCGACGGCCGGGGACGCCGGGCGAUUUUUUUAACGGUUACCUGGUCCGUCGCGCUCGCGCGCAGCCGAUUUUAUCGAACCUCCUCCAAUUCUCGUUAGCGGAGGUUUAAUUUAGCGAUAUUUUCGCUUCUGAGCGGCUUUACUAUUUGAAACGAUUCGUGGUUAUUUUGGGCCAAACGGGGUCAGACGCGAUUAAAUCAAGUCGAUUUUCAUAAUUUGUGUCGUUCUAGCGUGUACGUGUGUCUGCAUUUGCUGCCAUCAAUUAUGAAUAUCAGUCUGAUUUUCAUCGGUUUACAAUGUUAUAGAUACUCGAAAUGAACGGGGUAGCGACGCACGGGGGCUACGAGUUUCGAAACACGUACGCGAAAUGAAUAUCUGUGUGCUCUACAAUGGAAAAUAUAAACGGCAUGUUGACAAUUAACGACACGACACGUGUCGCAGCAUACUGCGCUGUUUGUUGGCUUGUGUUCCACUGACACGCCGCCUGCUAGCUUGCAAUAUCUGUGACAUUUUUGGAUGAACAUCGUGUUAGCACGAUCCUGAGGUGCUGCAACAUUAUUCACAAUCCCGAAUAAUAUACAAAUGGAAUCACCCAAGUUUGAAUAUUGCUUUACGUGACUCGUCUCUGGAGAUGCUGGAAUGAUGGGUCGAACUUGAUCAAGGUCGAUAAUGCAGAAUCAGUGCACAGCUUUAACAAAAUUUCGUACGUAUCUCUUUUAUAUAUUUGGGAAACUAUUAACUCUGAUCAAAUUUGACCAUCCCGCUGGUAUCUCUUUAAGUGUGUACUAAACUUUAGUAUUUUUUUAAGUGUGUACUAAACAAUAUAUUAUAAAUUGUAUAAUAUAUAAUAUUUUUUAUUAGCAGCACUAACGAGGAUUUACCACCUUCAUUGACGAACCAUGAAAUGGCGUGACAAACAAUUUGUUCAGGACACAUGGGAUAUAUAUACGAGAGGUGAUGCUUCUACCGCUUUUAAGAUACUUCUCGGUAAGUGAUUUGCUUCUAUAAUGCACAAUUUGGCUUAUUAAUAAAUUGCUCUCGUAGAGUUCCAUGCUAAAAAAAAAUUCAUUCUGCAACAGGCUGAGUUAUCGGACUCCAUGUAUUCGAAAAUAUAAUUAGUUCGAAUAAAUGAUGUAAUACUGUUAUCAUUUACUCGAAGCAAUUUUUGUAAAUUACAUUACGCGACUUAACUGAUUGUUAUUAUAGUUAUUGAUAUCAGCUAUAAUAUUUGCAUUGUGGAAGUAUUUAUAUUAUUUUUAUAUUAUUUGCAAAGUUUACCACUACGUAAACCGAUUGCUCUCCAUCAGCUUUUGAAAGUGUUGAAAAUUUGUUUGGAAAAAUUAUGUGCGGUUAGGGUUUUAAAUAUUUUAAUUAUUUAUUUCUUUUAUCGUGCUUUUUCUAAUGGCACGACCACUUAUUGAGCGCCUUUAAUAAUAUUUAUUAUGUGUAAUUUAACAUAUUCUCGUUUAUGUCCGGGAUUGCAUCUGAAAUGUCCGGCGUUUUUGACCUCUAAGUCCUAUUAGCUCUAGUUUAAAAAAUUUUAAUAUGGCAACCCUAACUAAAAUCGCUACCGAUUUUCGCGACGUUCACCGGAAGAUGCAAAAAAAGGCUAUUGGGAGGAGGGAGGAGGACGAUAUCGCUGUGUGUGACGUCGCCACAAAUAUAAACCCAGUCUUAUUGAUCUCAGUCACAAAAAUAUUCAAGAUUCGACAUUCACGAGAAUAUUACGUCCAUUGAAUUUCUGUUGACUCGAGAAUGUCACCUGAUUUUUUCACCGUAAAUAGUCACCGUAAAUGAUUAUCUGUUCUAUUUAAGAUUACGAUUAAUAUAAACUUACACUUAAUCUUUCUUUAGAAAAAGAAUGGCGAAACAUAAAACUAGCGCAAAUGCAUUAACAAAACAAUCGUACUGAUUGUGAGUUCUAUUUUCUUGUUGCGGGAGUGUAAAAAGUUAACUACUCCCGGGUAAAAAAAUCAAUUUCAAAUUAGUAAAUCCGUAAAUAGUAAAUUAAAAUAUAGGCCAAUAUUUUGGGCAGAAUUUUUAUAGAUUCCAUCUCAUUUUUUUAAAUUGACUGAGAGAUUAUUUUUGACGCACAAAACAAAUCUUCUUUUAGAUUAUUUUGAAAAAAGAAUGCGCGCUACAAUUUACACACACAAAUAUACGUGUAGGCACAUACACAUACUCAUACAUACACAUUUGCUGGUUAUUUUAUGAACUAAAUCUCUAUUGGAAAACGGUUAUCCUACGCGAAGUUAAGUUCAAGCAAGAACACGAGAAGUCGCGCCCUCUUAAAAUCGAUUGUCGUGGAAUAGCGUAGAAUAUUUAUUUAUUCACAUUACCAUCGUUUUAUCGGAUAAAGUUUAUUUUAGAUAAUGUAUGCACGCGUCGCAAUAAUAUUACGACAUGUUAUUUCAUCGAGUGUUAUUUCAUCUUGUUUUAUUCUACGACGUUAUUAAAUAAAAAUUGUUCAAACCCACCGGAUUACAUUUUUGUCGAGUUGCGCGCUUAUUUCUCGUAUCAAAAUUAAAAAGAAA
rnacentral:lncRNA from 1 species